GGGUGAGAGCAUGAGGGUGAGAGGCGAGGCGGACCGUUUCCGCCUCCGCCUCUGCCUCCGCUAUUUUUUUCGGCGAGAGAAAAAAAAAAAGAACGAGAGAAACGAAGAGGAGAGAGAAAGAUGAGAGAGAAAAAGUAAUAAGGAUAUUUUGGUCAGUUUGCUGAAAAUUCGGACCGAAUCUGCAAAAUCAAAAAAGGCGGCCCAGUUUUGCAAAUGCCCAAAAUUAGUGGAUUUUUUAUGCAAAUUGGCCUUUUUUUUUAAUUGAAAAUUAUUAGGGGGUUGCCUCUUAUAAAGGAAUAAUUAUUUGUAUGCUGAUUAAAAUUUCG
rnacentral:lncRNA from 1 species